GACGAACGCUGGCGGCGUGCUUAACACAUGCAAGUCGAACGGAAAGGCCCUGCUUUUGUGGGGUGCUCGAGUGGCGAACGGGUGAGUAACACGUGAGUAACCUGCCCUUGACUUUGGGAUACCUCAGGAAAACGGGGCCAAUAACGGAUAGGAGCUCCUGCUGCAUGGGGGGGGGUGGAAAGUUUCGGCGGUUGGGGAUGGACUCGCGGCUUAUCAGCUUGUUGGUGGGGUAGUGGCUUACCAAGGCUUUGACGGGUAGCCGGCCUGAGAGGGUGACCGGCCACAUUGGGACUGAGAUACGGCCCAGACUCCUACGGGAGGCAGCAGUGGGGAAUAUUGCACAAUGGGCGGAAGCCUGAUGCAGCAACGCCGCGUGCGGGAUGACGGCCUUCGGGUUGUAAACCGCUUUCGCCUGUGACGAAGCGUGAGUGACGGUAAUGGGUAAAGAAGCACCGGCUAACUACGUG
rnacentral:rRNA from 1 species